GGGAAUCUUCCGCAAUGGGCGAAAGCCUGACGGAGCAACGCCGCGUGAGGGAUGAAGGCCUCUGGGCUGUAAACCUCUUUUCUCAAGGAAGAAGAUCUGACGGUACUUGAGGAAUAAGCCACGGCUAAUUCCGUGCCAGCAGCCGCGGUAAUACGGGAGUGGCAAGCGUUAUCCGGAAUUAUUGGGCGUAAAGCGUCCGCAGGCGGCCUUGUAAGUCUGUCGUUAAAGCGUGGAGCUUAACUCCAUUUCAGCGGUGGAAACUACAAGGCUUGAGUGUGGUAGGGGCAGAGGGAAUUCCCGGUGUAGCGGUGAAAUGCGUAGAUAUCGGGGAAGGAACACCAGUGGCGGAAGGCGCUUCUGCUGGGCCAUAACUGACGCUCAUGAC
rnacentral:rRNA from 1 species